rnacentral:lncRNA from 9 species
AUGAAAGAAACGCAGAGCGAAGGGUCCUUGGCCCAAACACAGGAUGGCAUGACCCAGCCAGGCACUUGGCUUUCUGGAAGGACCCUGUGCCCUUGCCGCCUGGCAGGUUCGACCAUCUGGUGGCCAUCGAGCUCCCGGGAAGGGCUGUGCGUGGCAAUUACUACAAUGCGGGAGAUGAAGAUCCAGCCCUUGGUGGACCCUGUGGGUAAUCCUUUCAGAUCACAGAGGAUUCCUGGAAUCUCGUCGAGGUCCUACGCCUCUCAAGGACUCUGUAAAGUGAGGACAACAGGGCCCUGGACAGGACACCCUGGGAGCAAACACGAUGAACUGCAUGGAUGCCGAACAGCAGAGACAGAUGUAGACAAGACACAGAGGCCAGGGGCAGACCAGCCAGAAGAAUCUAGAAGGACAGAGGAAAAUUGCUUCCUUUGUGACAGUUGUUGGCACAGUAUGAGACCUCAGUUUUACUGGCUGGAUACUACUCACCCUGAAGCUGCUGCAGCUGAGAAAUCUGUGGACAACUGAUGAAAGCGGGCAGCUAGUUCGAGUUCUUACCUGUUGGUCAGCCUCCCAGAUCUCUGCUUGCGGGUCUGGUGGAAGUGAGAGUGACCAGAGCCCUUUGUCUCUUUUCUACAAUUAAAUUAACAGGAGAAAAUAUCUGCGGAGCUAGUUCCUUGGACCCAGCAACUCUUGGUUUGAAAAUCAGCAGAGUGCUCUGGAUUUGUUGAUCCUUUUCCUCCCAAAGAUGGUUAUUGUUCUUCUGUAUCUCUGUCUAUUGUGUUGUUUGUCAUAAGAAGGAAAUUCCAUCCGGCAGGAUGCAGGCAUAGGCCCUUUAAGCCUGUUGUGCAGCCUAGCCCUGCAGACUGGUGAGUUCGAAAGUCUCACCAGAAAACCAGCAUCUAUUUAGACAAACUUCGCCAUGAGUUCAUAUGUACAAGAUAAGAGCUAUUGGCAAGGAGUAUCUUACAGGCACAGCUGGGCCACUGGUGGAUAUUGGUUGAGCAUUUAAGGCCAUCAGGGCACUUGCCAUCUCAAGAAGGCACCUGUGAAAGGACAAGUUGGUUAUGGGGUGGGUUAGAUCCACACUAUGUCACCUGCCAAUCUCAAAGAUAUGUCCAUGCCGCAAGGGACACUGUAAAAUACCACAGUCCUCAGCCUCCCUCUACGUCUCUCUUGGAUAUUCGUUUGCCUCCAAGAAACCUAAAACUUUGCUUAAAGCUGUUAACGUGCAUAGAAGAAAAAAAACUGGAUGAGGUUUCUCCAGUUUGGAGUUUUUUAAACUGGAAGGCAAACGUUAUCAUGAGAAGCCUGACCAACGAUGACUUGGGGCAAUGAGUAAGUCAAUUAAUUGAGUUAAAGAUUGACAACAGGAGUUCCCGUCGUGGCCCAGUGGUUAACGAAUCCGACUAGGAACCAUGAGGUUGCGGGUUCGAUCCCUGGCCUUGCUCCCUGGGUUAAGGAUCCGGCAUUGCCGUGAGCUGUGGUGUAGGUCGCAGACAUGGCUUGGAUCCCGUGUUGCUGCGUAGGCUGGCAGCUACAGCUCCAAUUCGACCCCUAGUCUGGGAACCUCCAUAUGCCGCAGGAGCGGCCCAAGAAAUGGCAAAAAGACCAAAAAAAAAAAAAAAAAAAAAAAAAGAUUGACAACAGGGGAGGCCCCUCUGUGAUCAGUGAGUUAAGAACCCAUCUGCAGCAGCUCAGGUUGCUGCAGAGGUGUGGGUUUGAUCCCCAGCCCAGUGAAGUGGUUAAAGGAUCCAGCGUUGCCGCAGCUGCAGUAUAGGUUCCAGCUGUGGCUCGCAUUCAAUCCCUGGCCCAGGAACUUCGAUGUGUCGUGGGUGUGUUCAUUUAAAAAAAAAAAAUUGGCAAAUGGCCUGGGUCCCUUGGCUUGACCCCUUCCUGUGGACCCAAAGCCUUUUAGGCAAGAGUGGGUAAAUAGCUAGGGAAUGAAGAGACGUUUCUGGGACUCCUUGAUGGUGGAAACUCACAAGCUGAGAUACCAAAACCCAUUAAUGGAACCCUGACUCAGACGACAAUGAGACGAAGAAAAGCAAAAAGUACAAGGGUUGAUAAGAUUAUGAAGAUUGAAAUGUUUGAGGUGUUACAUGAAGAGGUUAAACGAUGUUGCCUGAAUGUCUUAUGGACAAGGAUGUUGUGUCUGGCCGGGAACACGUCUCCACCCAGUACUGUGGGACUGAGACCUCUGGGUGGGGUCCUAGUGGGGACUAUGGUCAAAGGUAGAAGAGUUGAUGAAUUAAGGUGAAGCUUAUAAGAAAACUGGCAUUUUGAAUGGGCUUUAUGUAAGGUGGUGCUGUCUCUUCUGCCUGAAUAUUUUGUGGGGGUGGACAUGGGGUCUCACUGGAGAAUGUUUCCACUACUUGAUAGUCCAAGACCAGGUGGGCAUAUAAAAUCCACCCUUUGGGCAAUGUUAAUUAAACAUGCUGAUGAGAACCUGAGCCCAUGCAAUGUGAGAUGAAAACUGGGGGCUAAUACUUGGACCUGAUAGGUGCAAUAGUGGAAGCUUUUUGCCCCUUGGGUGAAUUGGUCUGGGGGGGACUUGAGCUCUUAUAAAGAGGGCCUUUGUUGAACGCCUUGUGUGGACUUUUGAAGGUAUGACACAUUGAACUGUGGCAUUCUAGAACAUAGAAAUCUGUUGAUUUCCAUUUUAGUUGGAAAUCUCUCUAAUAUAAAUAAGCAAAUUAAAUAAAGUAAGUUGGAAGGGCAGGUCAGCCUUUUGAUAUAAAUUAGGGGGUUGGCCUGUUCUUUGGGGAAUUGAAAGCAAUUGUCUCUGUCUUGCAAAUCUGUACAAAAUCAGAAAUGUGGAGUUCCCGUCGUGGCGCAGCGGAAACAAAUCCGACGAGGAACCAUGAGGUUGCGGGUUCAAUCCCUGGCUUUGCUCAGUGGGUUAAGGAUCCAGUGUUUCCAUGAGCUGUGGUGUAGGUUGCAGAUGCGGUUCGGAUCUCAUGUUGCUGUGGCUGUGGUGUAGGCCAGCAGCUGUAGCUCCGAUUAGACCCUUAGCCUGGGAACCUCCAUAUGCCAAGAGUGUGGCCCUAAAAGGACAGAAAAGACAAAAAACAAAAAAACAAAAAAAACAGAAAUGUAAGCACAGCCUUCAGUCACCUUAAACUGAGACCCAUUAACUCAAUUGGUUGAACUUGAAAGAAAAAAAGAGAGUCCUUUUCAAAAGUACAAACUGCUGGAAAGUUCCCUCACCCGAAAUCUAAUCCUAGCCUCCUCAAUUAUUUGUCAAGGACAAAUACAAAUCUUAAUCUUUUCCACAAAUAGUAAAAGACCUUUGCCAUCAGAGUGAAUAAACUUAUCUUAUUCUGUUAUUUAUAAAUAGUGAACUUUACAUUGUUGUACCUGAUUGGUAACUAAAGUUUCAAAUGAAAGUUGUGAGGUCUCUGGCUAUCUCUGUCUAUAUGUCAUGUGUGUAUGUUAUAGAGGAUUUUCUACCUUCUGAUGGUGUUGCCAAAAUUAAUUUGUAAAAGAGCUCUAUUUAAUUGACUUAAAAGUAAGCACUUAUGAAUUAAAUAUUUCUAACUAUAACAGAUGAACCCAAAUAUUUUUCAAGUUCACAUGAUCUAAGAUUAACCUUUAGUAUAUAAAAGCAAAUUUAAAGUUAUUGUUUUGGUUAAAAUAAGCAUGUCUUUAGAGUUAUUCAGCAUUAAAUAUAAAACUUUUAUUCCAUCUGCGUUUACUAGUCAAAUAAGUUCGUGUUAUUUCUGUUACAAAGUUUUUCAGCAAGAAAAAUAACUUGGGAUGACGGCUGACUUUGCCUAAUGUCUUAUGACAUUUUUAUGGGUAGCUAAACAUAAUUGUUGGGGACAAAUGAUUUAGAUAAAUAUAAAUGGGAUAAGACUUAACAUAGUUUCCAAAAUCUUUUAGUAACUUAAAACUUUAGAAUUGUUCUAAGUUGAAUGAUGGGAAUUCAUUGAAUGCUUACAUCAUUUCCAAAUAAAAUAAAAUACUGAAACAUUAAUUGCUGAACAAGUCUGUUUACUUUUGUCAUCUUAUUACAAAAACCUAAAGAUAUUUGGGUCUGUUAGAAACAUGGAUUAUAUCGCAUUGAAAAAAAGAAAAAAAUUAUGCUAUGAGGAAAUAGAUGUUUCUAGAAAUGAAUUGUUUCUAAUAAAUAUAAUACAUGUAAAAAUACAUUAUACAAUAUGAAUGUAUUUUAAAUUACUGGUAUAAAA